rnacentral:rRNA from 1 species
UACGUAGGGGGCAAGCGUUGUCCGGAUUUAUUGGGCGUAAAGAGCGUGUAGGCGGUCCGGUAAGUCCGCUGUGAAAGUCGGGGGCUCAACCCUCGGAUGCCGGUGGAUACUGUCGGGCUUGAGUACGGAAGAGGCGAGUGGAAUUCCUGGUGUAGCGGUGAAAUGCGCAGAUAUCAGGAGGAACACCAAUUGCGAAGGCAGCUCGCUGGGACGUUACUGACGCUGAGACGCGAAAGCGUGGGAAGCAAACAGG